GAACUGCGAUAAGUAAUGUGAAUUGCAGAAUUCAGUGAAUCAUCGAGUCUUUGAACGCACAUUGCGCCCCCUGGCAUUCCGGGGGGCAUGCCUGUCCGAGCGUCAUUGCUGCCCUUCAAGCCCGGCUUGUGUGUUGGGUCGUCGUCCCCUCCGGGGGACGGGCCCGAAAGGCAGAGGCGGCACCGCGUCCGGUCCUCGAGCGUAUGGGGCUUUGUCACCCGCUCGAUAAGGACCGGCCGGGCGCCAGCCGGCGUCUCCAACCUUUUUUUCUCAGGUUGACCUCGGAUCAGGUAGGGAUACCCGCUGAACUUAAGC
rnacentral:misc_RNA from 1 species